GAAGACACAGAGCAUUCUGCCUCUAUAGUCUGCUCUUGCCGUUCAAGCUUCAACAAUGCCUUUGCGCUGGCUUCUCAUGCUUGCCAUUUCUAUGAUGCUUUUCUUUUCUGGAGGUAAGACAUCUACCCUGAAAUAGAAAAACAACAACAUUCUGGCAUAAAUGACAGAAGAAUAAAAUGAGGUUAGAAGGCGUCUGCUACCAGUGUGGCCAGCUUGUGCACUGUGGCUUUGUCCCCUUGCACCCUAAGAAAGUUUAAAUGGAAAGGUUAUUGAGGGGGGAGAGGGUGGAGACGCUGUAUGCCAUCUCUUUGGAAUUGAGCCAAGACUCCGAUUCAGAGUCUUCCAGCAGCUGCCUCGGAGUUACUUCUGUCACUGGUGAAAGAAUUGUGGAAGAGGGAAGGUUUCUCCUCAUGUGUGACAUGGAAGGCAGUCUGAAGGCAGUCCUGUUCAGGGAAGGUUUUAAUGUUUGAUGUUUUAUUGUAUUUUUAAUAUUUUGUUGGAAGCCUCCCCGAGUGGCUGGGAAAACCCAGCCAGAUGGGCGGGGUAUAAAUAAUAAGUUGUUGUUGUUGUUGUUGUUGUUGUUACCCCACAACUUGCCGCCUUUCCACAGUUAAAACAAUGCUCAAGACGGCUUACAAAGUUAAUAUCAGUAAUAUACUACUACUACUACUACUACUAUAUUUUUUGUACCCCGCCCGUCUGGCUGGGUUUCCCCAACCACUCUGGGUGGCUUCCAACAAAGAUUAAAAAUACAUUAAAAUGUCACACAUUUAAAACAUCUGCCUUCAGAUUUCUUCUAAAUGUCAAGUAGUUGUUUAUCUCUUUGACAUCUGGUGGGAGGGCGUUCCACAGGGCGGGUGCCACUACCGAGAAGGCCCUCUGCCUGGUUCCCUGUAGCUUUGCUUCUCGCAGUAAGGGAACCACCAGAAGGCCCUUGGAGCUGGACCUCAGUGUCCGGGCUGAACGAUGGGGGUGGAGACGCUCCUUCAGGUAUACUGGGCCGAGGCUGUUUAGUUAGUAUCAGUUAAUAUCAGUAACAACAGCAAAAACUCCCAACAAAACUUUUCCCCAAAUACACCAGUCCUUGCUGGGCAGCAGCCGCAGCAGCAGUCCUUAUGAGGCCUGUCAGGACUGGGUCCUCAGGCUUCCAACAGGGGAGUCCUCCUGGGUUCCCUCUCUCCUCGCCCCUUCACCAGCCAACUCUUGCCAGCCCCUGACAUAUUAUUAUUAUUAUUAUUAUUAUUAUUAUUAUUAUUAUUAAUACCCCUUCUUUUUCAUUGGCAGGGUUUCAAGGUAAUACACCGAACAAAGGGAAAAAAGGUAAUACAAAUAAGAACAGUUAACUAUGAUUCUCUUUUUUUGAUAUAAUAUUUUUAUUAAUUUUCCAUCAAUAAAAAAAUUCAUAUCUCACCACAUUACAACUUUCACAAAUUUUCACAUUUUUAGACUUCCUUCAGCCUCUCUGACAAUCAUCCGAUUUUUUCCCUGUUUACACAUUUCCUAAAUUUGCUAUUGCCUUUUAACACACCCUACCAUAUCUAUUUCCCUUUUUUACAAUAUUUCUUAGACCUUUACAGAGCUUCUUUAAAUGCCACUAGCGUUAUUUCUUUAUCACUUAUACCUUCCCAAUACUCAACAAACUUUCCCCAGUCCUCGAUGAAUUUUUGAUCUCGUCGAUAUCUAAUCUUCCCUGUCAGUUUAUCAAGUUCUGCAUAGUCCAUCAGCUUCAUUCUCCACUCCUCCAAUGUUGGUAAUUGUUCCUGUUUCCAUUUCUGGGCGAGUAAUAUUCUUGCCGCUGUUACUGCACAUUGAAAAAGUUUACAGUCCUUUCUAUUUAUCUCUUUAUUCUCAUCAUCCCUAACCACUGGCUAUGCUGGUUGAGGCUAACAGCAACAUCUGGACCCAGGACCCAGAUUCUCUAUCCCUAAACUAGACCAAUCAGUUCAAUGGUUUUAAUCAGUUAAAGAUAGAUGACUGCACUUCCACAGGCAGCAUUUUUUUUUAAAAAAAAUAUAAUUUAGUAUAACAUCCUUUAAAAAACUGUAGGUGGGAUGAAUCCCAUUUUCACCCUUGUGGGAUGUCUCUACAGAAAUGCUACACACCAGUGCAUCAUGUACAGGCAGCUUGCGCUUCUGGCUUUUGAACUAUUGUUCCACGCUUAUGAAGGUUUCUCAAAAUAUAAUCAAUCAAUUCAUUCUCUAAAAGUCAUACAGUAAAUUUGUUUUAAUUGGGUGACACCCAUAACGCUGUGGGUUAAACCACAGAGCCUAGGACUUGCUGAUCAGAAGGUCAGCGGUUUGAAUCCCCGCGACGGGGUGAGUUCCCGUUGCUCGGUCCCUGCUCCUGCCCACAUAGCAGUUCGAAAGCACCUCAAAGUGCAAGUAGAUAAAUAGGCACUGCUCCAGCGGGAAGGUAAACAGCGUUACCAUGCGCUGCUCUGGUUCGCCAGAAGCGGCUUAGUCAUGCUGGCCACAUGACCCGGAAGCUGUAUGCCGGCUCCCUUGGCCAAUAAAGCGAGAUGAGCGCCGCAACCCCAGAGUCGGUCACAACUGGACCUAAUGGUCAGGGGUCCCUUUACCUUUACCUAAUUCACAGCGCUAAAUCUAUGGUGCCUCAUUCUUUUCUUUUGCUCUCUUUGAGAGAGAGCAUUCCUUCUCUCUUUUCCUGCCCUCUUUUCCUUCUCUCUUUCAUUCACCCUUCCCUUAUUCUUCCGUGGCUCUGCUCUAUCUCAUUCAGUCACCCAUUUUUCCUUGGUCUGUUCCUCCUCUUUCUGCCACCCCCUUUCCCUUCUCUCAGUUCCUUCUGUCACCCCCCCCCCCCGUGCUGGACAGUUAGGCAGUGUGAGCUGUCGUGAAGAAGAUUUCACGAUCUGCAACUGUAAAUCUUGAGGGUGGUCUAACAACACUUCCUUACGUGAAUGCUAGCUCCUUUGCGUGGCAGAGUAAUGACUGCGCAGCUGGAGCGUUGAAGGUUCAAAUUGCACACAGGUGAUAGGCAAUUUGAUAGUAAAACACUCAUGGAAGCAAUAAAGCUCAAUCAAGCACUGCUUCCUUGAAAGGCAAUCACCAUCUUGUUGGUAGAAGACUAUUUACAACUUUACUACCGCACUGAUAGUAAGGCACACUUCAGUCCUAAAUGCUGCUUGCACACAGCUCAGCAGUCUCUCCCUUGUGGGAAUCACACAUGUCCAUAGAUAAGUGCCUGUGGUGAUCACACAAGGUCCCCGGAUGUUUAACAGUCUGUUGAUCCCUGUGCCACCACUGUGCUCGCUUCCCCGCUGCCACCAACCCGUUACUCUUGGGUAAAACACUGAGUCCAGACCGUUGUUAGAACUGAACCCAAUAAACAAGUUUAUUUUAUAAGCAUUAACAAGUUUAUGGUUUCUCAGAUAAUAUUCCUGUCAGUUUCUUAACUUUAGUUUCUUUACCAGCCUAUACCUUCCUAAUACCUUCUGACUGAUUAUUUCAACUGUUUGACUGACUCCUCUUAACAGAUUCUUUCACUCUCUCACAUCAGACUAGCCCAACCCACAGACUUAUCCUCUCAGUCUCUUCUCUAACUCCAGACUGACUUCUCAACCACCCUAACUCUAACUCUAACUCUAACUCCUCCCCUUGGCUUCCCAUUGGUUAGUCAUUUUACAAUUAGUUAACCCUUUCCUUAUGAACCCAGUAUGAUGUCACACACCUAGGAGGCCAAACGCCACAGUGCCCCAUAGCUAUUUAUAGCUGCUGUAGACUAAACAAUCUUGCACCUGAAUGCUUGGAGAAUCUUCAAGAAUCUUCUCACAGUUCCUGGCAACAAAUGGUCCUUUCUCACUUGCUCUAACAUGUCAUAAGGUAGCUUCUUAACCUGGAGUUUUUUAUUGUAUGGAAUUUUUGGAGUCGAAGAGAAAGAAUUAUAACCUGAGGUUCACCCAUGUUUGUGACAAUGUUGAUAAGCCUGUCAGUCAAAUAAGAAUUUUACCCUUCUUAUUCAUCUCUUCUAAAUGUGUGGCCAUUUCCCCCCUUUACAGAAACUGCUAAAGGAACAGCUUGUAAGCUAAUCGGAGGUGAAUGCAUGCCUAAGAAAAAGUGCAAGGGAAUACACACUGAUUCUGACUGUGGCAAGCAUGAAGUGUGCUGCGAGGUAAAAUGAGGUUCAGCUCCAUGUCAGCGCAUAUUUCAUAAUGCCAAUUUCCUGGAAAAAGUGAUGGCUCUUCAGCUGGGAAAGCCAAGAAAGCUACUCUGUUAUCGUGUCAACGCAG